rnacentral:rRNA from 1 species
UAACGAAUAUUCCGCAAUGCGCGAAAGCGUGACGGAGCAAUGCCGCGUGCAGGAUGAAGCCCCUCGGGGUGUAAACUGCUGUCAGGGUACAGGAAGAAAGUGACCAUACCCAAAGGAAGGGCCGGCUAACUUCGUGCCAGCAGCCGCGGUAAUACGAAGGGCCCGAGCGUUAAUCGGAAUCACUGGGCUUAAAGCGUACGCAGGCGGAUACGUAGGCAUCUUGUGAAAUCCCUCGGCUCAACCGAGGAACUGCUUGGUGAACCACGUGUCUUGAGACAAGUAGGGGUUGUCGGAACGCUAGGUGGAGUGGUGAAAUGCGUUGAUAUCUAGCGGAACACCAAAGGAGAAAUCAGGCAGCUGGGCUUGUUCUGACGCUGAGGUACGAAAGCGUGGGGAGCGAACGGGAUUAGAUACCCCCGUAGUCC